rnacentral:rRNA from 1 species
CCUACGGGGGGCAGCAGUGGGGAAUAUUGCACAAUGGGCGCAAGCCUGAUGCAGCCAUGCCGCGUGUGUGAAGAAGGCCUUCGGGUUGUAAAGCACUUUCAGCGGGGAGGAAGGCGUUAAGGUUAAUAACCUUGUCGAUUGACGUUACCCGCAGAAGGAGCACCGGCUAACUCCGUGCCAGCAGCCGCGGUAAUACGGAGGGUGCAAGCGUUAAUCGGAAUUACUGGGCGUAAAGCGCACGCAGGCGGUCUGUCAAGUCGGAUGUGAAAUCCCCGGGCUCAACCUGGGAACUGCAUUCGAAACUGGCAGGCUAGAGUCUUGUAGAGGGGGGUAGAAUUCCAGGUGUAGCGGUGAAAUGCGUAGAGAUCUGGAGGAAUACCGGUGGCGAAGGCGGCCCCCUGGACAAAGACUGACGCUCGGGUGCGAAAGCGUGGGGAGCAAACAGGAUUAGAUACCCGGGUAGUC